UUUUUAGAAACAAGUAUGUUGCAUGUUACUGUGCACAUUGCAGGGUUACCCAAUGUUUCAGAAGUGUGUGAAUGUGCAUAUUUAGAGCACAAGGGUACUAGCACUCAGGUGGGUCUCCUGGGACGAGGGACUGACAUUGUGAGCUCCCACGUGGUGCUGCGGUUAUGGCCUUAGGUCGAAUAUGCUGAGACAGCCUCAACGAGUGAGGCAUUGGGAACCGAUGUGCAAAGGUGGAAAAUAGAUUUUAGCAAGGACAUCCCUCGUGAGUGUUUAGGAAGACCUUCAAUUCCAAUCCACCUCCAUGAUCAUGUGCUGGGAGGUGGUAGAUGGUGGCUCAAGUACUUGAACCUGAGAAUCGUGGCUCCUGACGUCAGCAGGGCCCAGACCUAGCUGUUGCGGCCAUUUAGGGAGUGACACAGCAGAUGCAAAAUUUCUCUCGCGCGUGCUCUCUCUCUCUAUGACUCACACACAUUCUAUUUCUCUGUUCCUCAUUUACCCUUUUAAUAAUAAAUUAGAUAAAUAAAUAAACAAAACCUUUUUCAAAAACCCAACACCUCAGUAAAAACGCACAGAGGAGCUGUUGGGGAAAUCUGUAAUUGAUUUCCAUGGCAGUCACAUGCGUUUAAAAUUCAGUGAAAUGGACAGUUACAAUACACACAUUUUAUCAUAUUUAUCCUAUGACUCAAUGAUGUUGCUUUAGAAUUGCUUGAUGGGAGUAUUCCAGGGGACAGGAGUUGCUGAGAGCUUCCGCUAAGGUUCCAGGGCAUUGGACAGCUGUGAGAAGCGGUCAUGAAACCCUUUAAGAAGGCUUGGGUCCAGGUCAGUAUGUGCUGGAUGCCAGGUCAGGGCCCACGGGCUCAUCAUCCUUACUGUGAACACCUGGGUUUCCCAGGUGAGAAGCAUAGAAUGAUGUAUGUUACAGGGAUUGUUACAAUCCAGAAACAGAAGACAGCGCUGUGCUGGUAUACCUUGUGUACUUUUCUGUACCCGGCGACAUCACCCUCUUUUUUGCCUGCGUUUGCUGUCCUUGAAUUUCUGUUCCCAUCCUCUGUUGUAAACACUCCUUACAUCUCACAUAGGGCUGUCAUUUACAACUUUUUUUCCUUCAGUCAAAUGCUCUUACAAGUAGCGUUUCUGGUGUUUUCUACCAACCGAAUGCACCUCUCAUUUCCUGAGCUGGGUGAGGGCUGAGUUUGUGUUCAAAGGAAAGUGAACUUUGAGCACUGUGGAUUGGCUGCUGGCACAGAAAUACAGGGCCGAGUCCCCCAGUUCAGUGGACUGGAUCUCCACGCUGCAGGGGACACAGUCCAUCUUUGCUGUCUGUGCCUUUCCCUUGAGCAGAUGUCUGGGAGUCUGGGUGACCUCUGUGUCCAUGGAGCCUGUGGAGGGAGGAGACAGAAGCUGGAGGAGAAGCCCCUGAGGGAGCCUGGGAGAGCAGCCACAGCAGGCUGAGCAGCCCGUGGGACUGGCAUGCGCUGGUGCAGAGCAGGGCCUCACCUGCUCCCCAGAGACACAGGGCCCCCCAGCAGAGCAGACUGAGGCGCAUGGUGUGUGCAGGAGGAGAGGAGUGGCAGGGGGCUCUUCCUGCAAGGCUUUCUCCUCCCAGCAGUCACCUCCCUGUGACGUCCUCACUCCCAUGGGCUUCACCCUUGCCCUGCACGUGGGCCACACACAUGUCAUAGGCUGUGGGAGUUGGAGUGUGUUUCAGCUAGUGAGGACAACUGGUGUACUUUGGGAUCUGAUUGAUUCCACCAUCUGUGGUUCCUGAGGAAGAAAGAGCAAGACCUGUAAAUGCAGCACAGUGCAACAUGGUUCCAUCAGCUGCUGGUUACCUGUCUCCCAUCACUCAACAGUGCAACAUGGUUCCAUCAGCUGCCGGUUACCUGUCUCCCAUCAUUCAACAGUGCAACAUGGUUCCAUCAGCUGCUGGUUACCUGUCUCCCAUCUCUCAACAGUGCAACAUGGUUCCAUCAGCUGCCGGUUACCUGUCUCCCAUCACUCAACAGUGUGACAUGGUUCCAUCAGCUGCCGGUUACCUGUCUCCCAUCACUCAACAGUGCGACAUGGUUCCAUCAGCUGCCGGUUACCUGUCUCCCAUCUCUCAACAGUGCAACAUGGUUCCAUCAGCUGCCGGUUACCUGUCUUCCAUCUCUCAGGGCUCAGAGUACAUUUAUGAAGAUUGUAAAGUGUGUUAUAUUUUUAUAAGAUUGGUUCAUUUAUCAACAAGGUUGUUACACAAUAAAUAUUAGGCAACACGUGUUCCUAUUCACAAGGUUGAUUUUGGAAAAUAUACUCUUUUUUUUUUCGAUGUUUGAAUCCUUUUAGGUGGAGGUGCCAGAUUUUUCUUUAAAAUUGAAGUAUAACUCAUAAAGUUCACCCUUUGAAAGUGUGUAAUUCCUUGCUGUUUUGUGUAUUCACAAAGCCAUGCAGUCAUUGCCACUAUCUAAUUCCGGAACAUUUUCACCACCCCCCGGAAGAAAUCAUGCCUCACUGAAAGUCACUCCCCAUUCAGUCCUCCCCACAGCCCAUGUCUACCGUGAAUCUACUUUCUGUACCUAACGAUUUAGAUAUUCUGGAAAUCACACAUAUACAUGUAUUUAUGUAUUAAAUGCCCUUUUGUGUCUGGUUUCUAUCGUUAAGCACAUUUUUAUCCACAGUGCAGCAUGUAUCACUGCUCUAUAGCUUACUCACGACUGAUUCCAUUUUAUGGAUACACUGAUUUGUGUGAAUCCACUCACAAAUUGAUGGGCAUUUCCACUUUCAGGCUAAUAUAAGCAAUGUUGAUCUGAGCAUGUGUGUAAACUUUUAUGUAGGCACAUGUUUUCAGUUGUCUUGAAUACAUACCUCAGACUAGAAUGGCUGGGCUAUGUUCAACUUUUCAGUAAAUACCAAACUACACAAUGACUAUACCACUUUACAUUCACACCAGCAAUGCACGAGGACCCCAGCGUCUCCUCAUUUGUGCAAGCGUGUAUUGUUGUCUGCCUCUUCUAUUAUAGUCUAGUGUGUCUUCAGUGGCAUCUCAUUAUGAUUUUUGUUUGUAUUUCCCUAAUGACCAAUGAUGCUGCCAUUUUUCAGUGCUUUGUGCUAUUUCUGGAUCCUCUUUUGAAACAUGUUUAUUCAUACCCUUUCCCAUUUUUGUGUUCAUAUUAUUGAGUUGUGGGUUUUCUUUGUUUCUUCUGAAUACAAAUCCCUGUGAGAUAUAUGAUUUGGAAAUAAAUAUUCCACUUGGA